UACGAAGGGGGCUAGCGUUGCUCGGAAUCACUGGGCGUAAAGAGCGCGUAGGCGGUCCGAUAAGUCGGCUGUGAAAGUCUAGGGCUCAACCCUGGAAAGCCGGCCGAUACUGUCGGACUAGAGUCCGGAAGAGGCAAGUGGAAUUCCGGGUGUAGCGGUGGAAUGCGUAGAGAUCCGGAAGAACACCGGUGGCGAAGGCGGCCCGCUGGGCAGGAAGACACCGCAAGGUGUCGGCUGACGCUGAGGCGCGACAGCGUGGGGAGCAAACAGG
rnacentral:rRNA from 1 species